UCGGUCCCGGUUCACGUCCGGUACAGCAUUUGGGCGACCCGGGUCC
rfam:Mycobacterium smegmatis str. MC2 155, complete genome.